rnacentral:rRNA from 1 species
ACUUAAAUUGAAGAGUUUGAUCAUGGCUCAGAUUGAACGCUGGCGGCAGGCCUAACACAUGCAAGUCGAGCGGCAGCGGGAAAGUAGCUUKCUACUUUUGCCGGCGAGCGGCGGACGGGUGAGUAAUGCCUGGGGAUCUGCCC